rnacentral:tRNA from 1 species
AAGGCUUUAGCUUAAUUAAAGUGUUGUUUUGCAUGCAGAAGAUGUGGGUAGUAUCCCGCAAGUCUUA